rnacentral:lncRNA from 1 species
AGGUGGAGAAGCAAAUGAAGCAAGAAGUAUAAAUUGAAAGGGGAGGCCACCCUCAUAUAGUGGCACGAAUGACCUUGAUCAGAGCGCCGAUUUGGCUACCCGGGCAAAUCGAGCCACGUGUCAGCUUGGGAUACGGUGCCGACAAUUCACCAUGAUCGCUGCAGUAAUGACACCUCGGGAUAAUUCUGCAUUAAGGGCACCCCGUGAUAGCUCGUAUGCGGCAACGCUUCAAGAAGGCUAGUCGACG